UACAAUGGAGAGUUUGAUCCUGGCUCAGGAUGAACGCUAGCGGGAGGCUUAAUACAUGCAAGUCGAGGGGUAACAGGGGGCUUCGGCCCUGCUGACGACCGGCGCACGGGUGAGUAACGCGUACACAACCUACCCUUAACAGGAGGACAGCCCUGGGAAACUGGGAUUAAUACUCCAUAAUAUUAUCCAGAUCGUAGAUAGGAUAAUUAAAGCUGAGGCGGUUAAGGCUGGGUGUGCGUUCCAUUAGGUAGUUGGUGAGGUAACGGCUCACCAAGCCGACGAUGGAUAGGGGGCGUGAGAGCGUGACCCCCCACACGGGUACUGAGACACGGACCCGACUCCUACGGGAGGCAGCAGUAAGGAAUAUUGGACAAUGGGCGCAAGCCUGAUCCAGCCAUCCCGCGUGCAGGAUG
rnacentral:rRNA from 1 species